AUUAUACUCCCUUCAUCCUAAAAUUCUUGUCUUAGAUUUGUCUAAAUAUGAACGUAUAUAGUCAUGUUUUAGUAUUUAGAUACAUCCGUUACAAGACAAAUCUAAGACAAGAAUUUUGGAAAGGAGGGAGUAGUUU
rfam:Hordeum vulgare subsp. vulgare, WGS project CAJW01000000 data, contig: morex_contig_38229